rnacentral:lncRNA from 1 species
AUGACUUUUAUAUUAAAUCACAGUUACACAUAAUCAUUCAUUUACAUUUCAUGAUUUCUUUAUUUUAAAGUCAAGACAUAAUUUAAAAGGAAUAUCACAAUAAAUAAAACAAUAUUACACCAAUUAUCCACUAGACGAAAAAAAAAAAAGCACAGAAAUGAAAGCAAUAAUCAGUACCCUGCCUAGCAUAAGAUAUACACAUCAUCUGUCUAAACACCAUAAUACCCUAGCUGGGUCUAACAAGAUUAAUACUGUAAGUAUACCAUAUGAACUACAGAUAAAAAAUAAAAUCAAUGCAAUUUUUUUCAAAGGCCAUUAACAAUAAACUUACAUGUAUCAGGGGAAAAGUAUUAGAAUCCAUUCCAAUUAAAUUUGAGUCAAAUAUUUCUUCUAAGUUUUAGGCUAUACUUUACUUAGAGUCACAUAUUUCUUCUAAGUUUUAUAAUCCAUACUGCAUCACUUAUAUUGUAUGGUAUCAGAUGCUUGUUAUAAUCUUACAGAGAGGAAACAUAAUUUGCCUUCCUGCCAACUGUCAUUAUUUGCAGGGGAUUUCCACUCUUAAAAGCUCUUAAAUGGAAAUUUUGAAAGAGCAAUUUUGUCCAUAAUUUUAAACAAAACAGUGAAUUUUACAAUGGCUGUAGGCUUUAAAUUGUAUGAACAAGCUAAAAAACAACAUUAAGGAGCAUUUGAAGGCCCCCUUGAAGGUUUUUUAGGACUGUAGGAGCCAUCUUGCACGUAAAAACCCCAUGGGCAUUUUGAAAAGUUGGCAGGUAUGUAUUUGCAUCUUUGAAGAAUACUUAUGACAAUCACAAACACUGAAACAAACUAAUGCAAUUAAGAAAACAGACAUGGACUGAUGCAGCUUUUUAAAUAUCAUAUUUGUGUAAAAAAGUAGGUUUUCCUUAAGAAAAAAAUCCUCUUCUAAGAGGAGAAAAAUCUUGUAUUGCAUUAUUCUCUUUUUGUCGUGUAAAUAUUUAUUGUUUGUAUGAAUUAUUCAGAAUGGCAAACCCAUGUUUGAUAUCAGGUUCAGGACCAGUAACACUGGUCGAGACUAUAAUUUCCAGGGAUUUUUCAGACAAUUCAACCAUUUUGGAAGCCAUGUCUUGAAGAGAAUAUCUUUUCACUGAGCAUAUUUCAGAAUCCCAACUCUAGCAACAAUGUCAUAUUAUCAUAUUACUAUAUGCUUCUCAAAAUAUGAGAAUAAAAACAUAUUUCAUUCCAAAUGUAUAGUUGGAUGAAUGUGAACGGUGAUUUUUGGUCAAAUUUCAAACAACUCUGAACACAUCACAAAAUACUGGGAAAAAAUUAACAACAAAAUAUCAAUUUUCAUUCCAACUUCAAAUUAAAUGGGAAGAAAAGGACAAUUUUGGUCAGAUUUUUGUUAAAAAAAUGGACAAUGAAUUUGUUAUUUGAACUUCAUGAACGAUAAUCAAAAUGAGAUCAUUCUUUUCACUGAAACAGCUUCCUUCUAAGAAAAUGAAUAAGUAUUUGUAUGAAGCUUCGUGAGAAGAUCUUCCUCAAUUAAGAAAACAGACAUGGACUGAUGCAGCUUUAUUUGUGUAAAAAAGUAGGUUUUCCUUAAGAAAAAAAUCCUGUUCUAACACAAAGAGGAGAAAAAUCUUGUACUUCAUUAUUCUCUUUUUGUCAUGUAAAUAUUUAUUGUUUCUAUGAAUUAUUCAGAAAUGGCAAACCCAUGUUUGAUAUCAGGUUCAGGAUCAGUAACACU